rnacentral:rRNA from 1 species
GAUGAACGCUGGCGGCGUGCCUAAUACAUGCAAGUCGAGCGAACGGACGAGAAGCUUGCUUCUCUGAUGUUAGCGGCGGACGGGUGAGUAACACGUGGAUAACCUACCUAUAAGACUGGGAUAACUUCGGGAAACCGGAGCUAAUACCGGAUAAUAUUUUGAACCGCAUGGCUCAAAAGUGAAAGACGGUCUUGCUGUCACUUAUAGAUGGAUCCGCGCUGCAUUAGCUAGUUGGUAAGGUAACGGCUUACCAAGGCAACGAUGCAUAGCCGACCUGAGAGGGUGAUCGGCCACACUGGAACUGAGACACGGUCCAGACUCCUACGGGAGGCAGCAGUAGGGAAUCUUCCGCAAUGGGCGAAAGCCUGACGGGGCAACGCCGCGUGAGUGAUGAAGGUCUUCGGAUCGUAAAACUCUGUUAUUAGGGAAGAACAUAUGUGUAAGUAACUGUGCACAUCUUGACGGUACCUAAUCAGAAAGCCACGGCUAACUACGUG